rnacentral:rRNA from 1 species
UACGGGGGGUGCGAGCGUUGUCCGGAAUCACUGGGCUUAAAGGGUGCGUAGGCUGUGCAGAAAGUUGGGUGUGAAAUCCCUCGGCUUAACCGAGGAACUGCGCCCAAAACUACUGUGCUCGAGUGAGAUAGAGGUGAGCGGAACUUAGGGUGGAGCGGUGAAAUGCGUUGAUAUCCUAAGGAACACAGGUGGCGAAAGCGGCUCACUGGGUCUCAACUGACGCUGAGGCACGAAAGCUAGGGGAGCGAACGGG